rnacentral:rRNA from 1 species
UACAGAGGGGGCAAGCGUUGUUCGGAAUUACUGGGCGUAAAGGGCGCGUAGGCGGCCUUCUAAGUCGAACGUGAAAUCCCCGGGCUCAACCCGGGAACUGCGUCCGAUACUGGAAGGCUUGAAUCCGGGAGAGGGAUGCGGAAUUCCAGGUGUAGCGGUGAAAUGCGUAGAUAUCUGGAGGAACACCGGUGGCGAAGGCGGCGAGUCCUGGACCAAUUCGUGACGCUGAGGAGCGAAAGCCAGGGGAGCAAACGGG